rnacentral:tRNA from 1 species
GGCUCCGUAGCUCAGUGGAUAGAGCAACGGUUUCCUAAACCGUGGGUCGUCCGUUCAAUUCGGACCGGGGGCACAA